rnacentral:rRNA from 1 species
CGCGUAGGCGGUCUCUUAAGUCAGAUGUGAAAGCCCGGGGCUUAACCUCGGAAGUGCAUUUGAAACUAAGGGACUUGAGUAUGGGAGAGGGAAGUGGAAUUCCUGGUGUAGCGGUGAAAUGCGUAGAUAUCAGGAGGAACACCGGUGGCGAAGGCGACUUCCUGGACCAAUACUGACGCUGAGGCGCGAAGGCGUGGGGAGCGAACAGGAUUAGAUACCCUGGUAGUC